CAUGUCCUUAAGAUUAUAAUUUAAGGUCUAAUCUGCCCACUGAAAUUUUAAAUGGCCGCAGUAUUUUGACUGUGCUAAGGUAGCAUAAUAAAUAGUUUUUUAAUUGAAAGCUGGAAUGAAUGAUUGGAUGAGAUAAAAACUGUCUUAAAUUUAUUAUAAUAAAAUUUUAUUUUUAAGUUAAAAAGCUUAAAUAAUUUUAAAAGACGAGAAGACCCUAUAGAGUUUUAUAUAAUUUUAUGUUAUUAUUAUUAUUUAAUUAUAAAAAUAUAGACUUGUAUUUUAUUGGGGUGAUAAAAAAAUUGAAUUAACUUUUUUUUAUAAAAACAUAUUUUUAUGAAUAUUUGAUCCAUAAUUUAUGAUUAAAAGAUUAAAUUACCUUAGGGAUAACAGCGUAAUUUUUUUUUAGAGUUCUUAUUAAAAAAAAAGAUUGCGACCUCGAUGUUGGAUUAAAGUUAAAUUUUGGUGUAGAAGCUAAAAAAUUUAAGUCUGUUCGACUUUUAAAACUUUACAUGAUCUGAGU
rnacentral:rRNA from 1 species